GUAGGUGGCAAGCGUUGUCCGGAAUUAUUGGGCGUAAAGCGCGCGCAGGCGGUCCUUUAAGUCUGAUGUGAAAGCCCACGGCUCAACCGUGGAGGGUCAUUGGAAACUGGGGGACUUGAGUACAGAAGAGGAAAGCGGAAUUCCAAGUGUAGCGGUGAAAUGCGUAGAGAUUUGGAGGAACACCAGUGGCGAAGGCGGCUUUCUGGUCUGUAACUGACGCUGAGGCGCGAAAGCGUGGGGAGCAAACAGGAUUAGAUACCCUGGUAGUCCACGCCGUAAACGAUGAGUGCUAAGUGUUAGGGGUUUCCCGCCCCCCUUAGUGCUGCAGCUAACGCAUUAAGCACUCCGCCUGGGGAGUACGGCCGCAAGGCUG
rnacentral:rRNA from 1 species